rnacentral:rRNA from 1 species
GACGAACGCUGGCGGCGUGCUUAACACAUGCAAGUCGUACGGUAAGGCCCUUUCGGGGGUACACGAGUGGCGAACGGGUGAGUAACACGUGAGUAACCUGCCCACAACUUUGGGAUAACGCUAGGAAACUGGUGCUAAUACUGGAUAUGUUCUCCUGCUGCAUGGUGGGGGUUGGAAAGCUCCGGCGGUUGUGGAUGGACUCGCGGCCUAUCAGCUUGUUGGUGGGGUAGUGGCCUACCAAGGCGGCGACGGGUAGCCGGCCUGAGAGGGUGACCGGCCACAUUGGGACUGAGAUACGGCCCAGACUCCUACGGGAGGCAGCAGUGGGGAAUAUUGCACAAUGGGCGCAAGCCUGAUGCAGAAACGCCGCGUGCGGGAUGACGGCCUUCGGGUUGUAAACCGCUUUCAGCAGGGACGAAGCUUUUUGUGACGGUACCUGCAGAAGAAGCACCGGCUAACUACGUG